CCAAAGGAGGAAUGGUUGAGUCCUUCAAGAACUUGUCCUUUGGAGCGCCAGGGGACUCUUUCUGCAGGAACUAUUCAAGUGGGAGAGAACUCCAAGGCAGAGACCCCAAGGCGGGCAGUACCCCAAUAUUUAUACCUCUCCCAGACAAAGAGUCGAGUUACCACUUCCUAGGUGCAAAGACCACAGCCAAUCACCAGCCCAAUUCCAGUGCGGGCAUCUGCAUGGGUCACCCCUCAGGCCAGAGGAGUCCUUUGCUCCCCCCCUACCUUUCACAUCUGCAGGGCAGGGGGAGGAAAGGUUUUUCAUGCCUUUCCUCUCCCAUUCAAACCACGGAGAGAGACGAAUUUUGGGGUGUCCAGAGCGCCAGGACACAUGAUCAAAUUUUUGAUUCUUUACACUUAAAGUGAGCAAUAUUUUCUUUCAGAUGUCAGAGGACAGUGACAGUGCAAACACAUGACAGGCCCUUUAGUUCCUUGCUAGAUGUGAUGUAUGGAAAUGUUUAUUUCAAUAAGAUUAUCUGAGUGAGGACCUUGUCAAAUGGGAUAAUAAGGAAAAAUGAAUAAGCUAUACACAACAUGACACAGACUUGACAGGAAAGUGUGACAGAGAUAAAAGCAAGAAACAAACCUCAUAGUCACACUAAUUGAUAGGCUAUCAGAACACUGCACACAAACUAGGGCAUUGCAGCCUACAAAGAUGGAAAGUUGAGGGUUUGAAAUGCUGGAGCAGAGCACAGCUGAACCAGGCAAUCUGAUGAGGGAGUGUUCAGAGGAAAGGAAUGGGAGAGGAACAGAAGAGAAAAAGGAAGAUGCAAGCAGCAGCAGGACAAGACAGCAGAAUCACUUUCUCCUGACUGCUGAAAACAGCUGACUGUUAUAAUCUCAAACCUUUUAUUUGAUCAUUCGAAUGGGCUUCACAGAAGAAAAAAGGCUGCAGUGUUGCCACGAUCUCUUAAGUACACUGCUCUGGCAAUGAAAAAGAACCCAGAAAUUAUGUACAGUAUGUUGCAGCGAAAAUACAAAAAGCAUUUUCUUUCCUGUCUGCUGAGCACCAGUCACCUUCUUCACUUGACACAAGAUGGAGAAUGGGAGGCAACAAGGAUUCAGAAGGAAAUGCUUUUAUUCUACCUUUAACUGCUGGAGCAAAUCACAAAAGAAAGGACAUUUUUUAGAGCUGGGGCUUGUUGCUUUGCUUAUAGUUUAGCCCUCAAGGGCAUACAGAUCUCUUAAUGAGAUGCAAACCAAAAUUAUUCUGUACUGAUUUUGUUUUGUCACAGAAACCUUGUGUUUUUUUCAACACUGCCUUUCCUGGCCAAUAUUUAAAAGGAGUUUUGAAUAUAAUUAUAUGCAAGCACAUUCUUCUGUAUACGUGUAUAUGUUUGUACUGGAAAAAGAUCUUGUGAUUUUUAAUGUUUUGACAGAUAGUAGGGAAAUUAAAAAUUAAGAAUGCUCUUUAAUACAGUUUUCAUGCCCGCAGGUUUUAUGCCAGUGAAUAAACAGUGAAGUUUGUUUAGUUUUCUGUGAUUUCCAACAGUCCUUGCAGGCUAUGGCAGCUUAGUCUUUUUAAUAAUGUUACUUUGCCUUUGGAUAAAAGCCUGCUGCAUAUACUGCUUCCACAAAUGAAUGUACAAAUAUUAAAAGGGGAAAAGGGAUUUAUAUCUGAAUAUUGGAUUGAUCUAAUUACAUUAUAGAAUCAAAUAAAAUAACU